rnacentral:rRNA from 1 species
AGCAGCCGCGGUAAUUCCAGCUCCAAUAGCGUAUAUUAAAGUUGUUGCAGUUAAAAAGCUCGUAGUUGAAUUUCGGGAUCAGUAGGUUGGUCGUGCCAAUGGUAUGCACUGGUCUCACUGGUUCCUCCUUCUUGUAGAACCGUAAUGCCAUUAAGUUGGUGUUGCGGGGAAACAGGACUGUUACUUUGAAAAAAUUAGAGUGUUUAAAGCAGGCUAACGCUUGAAUACAUUAGCAUGGAAUAAUGAAAUAGGACGAUCGAUCCUAUUUUGUUGGUUUCUAGGAUUGACGUAAUGAUUAAUAGGGAUAGUUGGGGGCAUUAGUAUUCAAUUGUCAGAGGUGAAAUUCUUGGAUUUAUUGAAGACUGACUACUGCGAAAGCAUUUGCCAAGGAUGUUUUCAUUAAUCAAGAACGAAAGUUAGGGGAUCGAAGACGAUCAGAUACCGUCGUAGUCUUAACCAUAAACUAUGCCGACUAGGGAUCGGAUGAUGUUAAUUUUUAAUGACUCAUUCGGCGCCUUAA